rnacentral:rRNA from 1 species
GAUGAACGCUGGCGGCGUGCUUAACACAUGCAAGUCGAACGGUGAAGGCGGAGCUUGCUCUGCUGGAUCAGUGGCGAACGGGUGAGUAACACGUGAGCAAUCUGCCCCUGACUCUGGGAUAAGCGCUGGAAACGGCGUCUAAUACUGGAUACGAGCUGCGAAGGCAUCUUCAGCAGCUGGAAAGAAUUUCGGUCAGGGAUGAGCUCGCGGCCUAUCAGCUUGUUGGUGAGGUAAUGGCUCACCAAGGCGUCGACGGGUAGCCGGCCUGAGAGGGUGACCGGCCACACUGGGACUGAGACACGGCCCAGACUCCUACGGGAGGCAGCAGUGGGGAAUAUUGCACAAUGGGCGAAAGCCUGAUGCAGCAACGCCGCGUGAGGGACGACGGCCUUCGGGUUGUAAACCUCUUUUGGCAGGGAAGAAGCGAGAGUGACGGUACCUGCAGAAGAAGCGCCGGCUAACUACGUG